AAGCAGUCCAUCAUUCCCAAUGCUCUGGGCAUGGUGGGGACCUUAGUAUACAGGAGACGCGUGCGGCCUCACUCUGUCUAAAGUUGAAAUAGGGGCUGGGAGUCUCACUCCCUCGCUCUCACACCUGCCACCACUGGCCUGCCUCUGAGUCUGGGCAGGCACACAGACAACUACCCACAGUUCACAGAUGUGAACCCUCUUUUGCAACAUUGCGGUUGCAUAUCAUUUUCAAGAUUUAUUCACUAUCUCAAAAGGCGUCAAAUUAAACCCUAUCACAACAUCGGGUUACAGCAGGAGGAGCCGAACGUCUCGGCUGGAAGCGGUCUUAGAGGGGUGGAUGCCAAGAAUGGGGAUGCGCUGUUGCCAGGAACCCAGCAGUCAACGAUGGAGCAAGAGCACACUGCAUUCCAUAAUGUCCCCAGAGGCAACCUUCAAAGUGCCAUUUACUCCUUGAAGAAACGGUAGCCUUGUAGUCCCACCUCCUGGCUAUGGCUGGCUGUCAGCUUGCUCAAGAUGUGUGAGGAAUGCCCAGCUCG